rnacentral:misc_RNA from 1 species
GAUGAAGAACGCAGCGAAAUGCGAUAAGUAAUGUGAAUUGCAGAAUUCAGUGAAUCAUCGAAUCUUUGAACGCACAUUGCGCCCCCUGGUAUUCCGGGGGGCAUGCCUGUUCGAGCGUCAUUUCACCACUCAAGCCUCGCUUGGUAUUGGGCAACGCGGUCCGCCGCGUGCCUCAAAUCGACCGGCUGGGUCUUCUGUCCCCUAAGCGUUGUGGAAACUAUUCGCUAAAGGGUGUUCGGGAGGCUACGCCGUAAAACAACCCCAUUUCUCAGGUUGACCUCGGAUCAGGUAGGGAUACCCGCUGAACUUAAGCAUAUCAAUAAGCGGAGGA